rnacentral:rRNA from 1 species
UACCCGUGUAGUCCCAGCCGUAAACAAUGUGCGUUAGGUGUGUCGGUAAACCACGCGUUUACUGAUGCGCCCGAAGAGAAAUCGUGAAACGCACCACCUGGGAAGUACGGUCGCAAGGCUGAAACUUAAAGGAAUUGGCGGGGAGCACCACAACAGGUGGAGCCUGCGGUUUAAUUGGAUUCAACGCCGGACAUCUCACCGGAUAAGACAGCUGAAUGAUUGUCAAUCUGAAGGUUUUACAUGACUAGCUG